AACGAACGCUGGCGGCAGGCUUAACACAUGCAAGUCGAACGCCCCGCAAGGGGAGUGGCAGACGGGUGAGUAACGCGUGGGAAUCUACCUAGUUCUACGGAACAACAGAGGGAAACCUCUGCUAAUACCGUAUACGCCCUAAGGGGGAAAGAUUUAUCGGAAUUAGAUGAGCCCGCGUAAGAUUAGCUAGUUGGUGGGGUAAUGGCCUACCAAGGCGACGAUCUUUAGCUGGUCUGAGAGGAUGAUCAGCCACACUGGGACUGAGACACGGCCCAGACUCCUACGGGAGGCAGCAGUGGGGAAUAUUGGACAAUGGGCGCAAGCCUGAUCCAGCCAUGCCGCGUGAGUGAUGAAGGCCUUAGGGUUGUAAAGCUCUUUCAGUGGGGACGAUAAUGGCGGUACCCACAGAAGAAGCCCCGGCUAACUUCGUGCCAGCCGCCGCGGUAACAC
rnacentral:rRNA from 1 species